rnacentral:misc_RNA from 1 species
AAUCCUCAAAAUAAGUCUUUUGUUCAUUCAAUCGAUCUUUAUUUUGGACUUGGAGGCCUGCAGAUUCACGUCUGCUCCUCUUAAAUUCAUUAGCUGGAUCACUGUGAACUCGGUUCCACUCGGCGUGAUAAGUAUCACUCGCUGAGGACACUGUAAAAGGUGGCCGGGAUUGCAGAUGAGCUGCUUCCAAUAGUCCAUUGACUUGGACAAUUACAUUUAUG